rnacentral:rRNA from 1 species
GACGAACGCUGGCGGCGUGCUUAACACAUGCAAGUCGAACGGAAAGGCCCCUUUGGGGGUCCUCGAGUGGCGAACGGGUGAGUAACACGUGAGAAACCUGCCCUUGACUUCGGGAUAACUUCAGGAAACUGGGGCUAAUACCGGAUAGGAAUCCUUGCUGCAUGGUGGGGGUUGGAAAGCUUCGGCGGUUUUGGAUGGACUCGCGGCUUAUCAGCUUGUUGGUGGGGUAGUGGCUUACCAAGGCUUUGACGGGUAGCCGGCCUGAGAGGGCGACCGGCCACAUUGGGACUGAGAUACGGCCCAGACUCCUACGGGAGGCAGCAGUGGGGAAUAUUGCACAAUGGGCGGAAGCCUGAUGCAGCAACGCCGCGUGCGGGAUGACGGCCUUCGGGUUGGAAACCGCUUUCAGCAGGGGCGAAGCUUGUGGUGACGGUACCUGCAGAAGAAGCACCGGCUAACUACGUG